UACAGAGGGUGCGAGCGUUAAUCGGAAUUACUGGGCGUAAAGCGUGCGUAGAUGGUUAUGUAAGUCGGAUGUGAAAGCCCCGGGCUCAACCUGGGAAUUGCAUUCGAGACUGCAUAGCUAGGAUGCGGAAGAGGGAAGCGGAAUUUCCGGUGUAGCGGUGAAAUGCGUAGAUAUCGGAAGGAACACCAGUGGCGAAAAGCGGCUUCCUGGUCCAGCACCGACGUCAGGCACGAAAGCGUGGGGAGCAAACAGG
rnacentral:rRNA from 1 species